rnacentral:lncRNA from 10 species
GCGGUUGCCGCGCUCGGCGACAACUGGCGACUGAAAUUUGCAUAGAAGAGAGUGGCCCAUUCGGUGUCCACCCGUCAGGCCACCCAGCAGCCAGGCACGCUCAUAAGCCCGCGUUACGGAUGGUGCGGCCGGGUGCACAGGCCCGAGGGAAGCACAGGCCUCGGCCUCCCAGCUCCCAACCCCUGCACCACCCACAGCCGGGAGUACCCCAUGGACAGCUGUGGCCGAGGAGAAGCCAGGGAUGAGGGGGAUGGGCCUCACCUCCCCACCAGCCUGGGAAGGGGGUAGGCCCCUGGCAAGCCCCUCCUUUGCGGCUGCUGUGGGGACUUUCGAGAGCAGAGCACACCCCUAAGUGCGUGGAGAGGUAAGCACAGCUGGUGAGCACACGGGGACAGCGACGGAGCUCAUGGAGACCCAGGUGACCUUAAAACACCCCAGGGCCGGCUCCGGCCCCAGAGAGAUGUGGUCCGAGUAGAGGGGGGUCAGCAGUGACCUGGUGGGUGGGUGUAUUUGAGGGGUGCCUGUGUUGAAAGCUCUGCAGUAGAUUCUAAGGAGCAGCCAGGGCUGAGACUCCCGGUGCUGAGCCCAAGGCCCCUUUCCU